GGGAGCGGGGGUUUAUAACCAGGGUCCUGGCCAAGCACCCAGCUUACAACCCCACCCAUCUUGCACUGGUCUCAGGUAAGGCCCAACGCCAUCUAUUCCACAUUGGAGGGUUUGGGGGCGGCUGAGAAGGUAUUGUGUUUGCCGGUGAUUGGGCUCUGGCCAUCCGGGCAUGGGGAAAUCUAGGCAGGGAGUUUGCACCCAUGGAAGGAACUCUGAAGGACAUCUAGUCCAAACCCCCUGCUCGAACCCACAAACCUGAGAUUAAGAGUCUUAUGAUCUACCGCCUAAUCUAUCCUGGGGGCAGGGAAUGAAAUCCAAGCAGCCAAGUGUGCUUUCAAUGUACCUGGUGGUUUGUGAUUUUUUAAAAUUUUUUGCACAUUUGCAAUGCAGGCAAAUGGUAGAAUGCUGCCUUUAUCGCCCACCUUUUUCUCCCAAGGAGCUCAAGCUUGCAUACCUAGUUCUCCCCCUCCCUGCUCAUUUUAAUUUCCACAACAACCCGGCGAGGUAGGCUAGGCUGACCGGCCCAGGGUCACUCAGUCGUGAGCUUUGUGGAUUUGAACCCUGGUCUCUCCCAGUUCUUAAUCCUGAUGCUAGCGGCUCGCAAGACAGUGGCUGGAAUUGGGAAUGGGCUGCGGUGUUUGCAAAUAUACACGGGUAUUUGUGCUGGGGUCUCUGUGCAAAAUUGGGGCUUUGUGCGCGCCCGUUGGUGAGUCGUGUGUUCGGAGAGAGAUUUGCACGCACGUAACAAACAGCAUAUGCAAAUAAGCACACUUCCUAAAUGGGGCUUGUGAGGAUUGGACGCGGCUCUCAAAAAUGCGUUGCACGAAGGGGCUAGGAUUGUGUUUUCGUGAGUGUCUAAGAAUGUGAGUUUGCAGUAGUGAGUGUGCCUGGUUGUGUACUUCCAGCAAAUUCAAAAAGUGUGUCUUAAUUCUGCAAAUCCUGAGAUCUGAGAAUUUCAUCUGGAUGCUGGUGGUUAUACCGUUAAAUACCUCAUCCAUCCUUCUGAGAAUGGUUACAUCCUGAGAAUGGGUGGUGUAAAGGCAUUUCUUGUUUGAAUUUUGAAGACAACACUCCACUCUUUCCUCUCCCCCCCCCACCUCAAGUAUUUCCACUAGACUUCAACUACCAGCUGAAUAUUAAAACUUAAGUUCGAAAUUUAGGCGUUGAAAUCUUCCGGGAUUUCUCUUGCCUACAUGCGGCUUUGAGAAUCGGGUGAGAAUUUCCAUGGGCUGUAUGUUGAGAAACGAAGGAUUUUCCUCCCGGGUUUGCUUUAGUGUGGCCCAAGGAGAGGAUUCUGGAAAAAUUUUAUAAUAACGAAUCGUCGUUCCGUUUUUUGUUUUUGUGCUAGCCAUAAGUCUAGCUUGUUUUCCCUCUGGAAGGAAAACUGGUGAGCUGAUUGUAUGGGUGCUUCUGCCUCAAGAACCCAUAGCUGUUCAUCCCCCCCUUUAGAAGUGGUUGUGCAAAAUCACAACCUUGGCGCGAGACAAAUCGCACAGGGAGCUUAGCAGUUUUCAGAUUGCAUGUAUUUGAGCUGUGGAACUCGCUGCCACAAGGUAUAGUGAUGGCCGCAGCGUUGAAUGGCUUUAAGGGGUUUAGACAAAUUCAUGGACGAUAAAUCUGCCUGCCAUAAUGGUUAUGUGCUACUGGUUGCUCGGAAUUGCAAGUGAGGAGAGAGCACUGUUGAGCUUAAGCUCUGCUUACAAGCUUCUGAUAUGCAUCUGGUUGGCUCUUACGAAAACAGGAUGCUCGAACAGAUGGACCUGCGUUCAGAUGCAGCUGGGCUCAUCUUAUGCUCUUACCUAGGCAGCCCCACAGCACAGUGAUGGUUAGAGCAUCACAGCUCAAUAACUGAGCACAUGAAUCACUGGCGGAAGAUUCAGGGUUCCCUGGCAUCUCCCAUCAAAACAAUAUUUUAACUCGGAUGACGGCUGGGAAAGCCUCUACUUUAGGUUCUUGACUCUUUUCAGACCAGGGAUCUAUCUAACUUUAGCCCAAAAUUGCACGUGGGGACUGACACUUGCAAGGCGGUACUGCUUCUGCUGUGACUCAUUAUGGGGCAGGGGGUAACCCAGGAGUGUAGCCUUUUGCCGGUAGUUUGUCGAACUACAAAGCCCAUCAUCCCCUGUCAGCAUCUCCAGUGACCAGGGAUGAUGGGAGUUGUAGUCCAACAGCAACAGUUUCUUAUGUCUGUAUGCAGGCAUGGGGCUAAUUAUAUGUAUAAUUGCAGAACUGGGCGUGAGAUGCUCAAUGGUUCAAGUUUCCUCUCAGCCGCAAACCCCGCAGGGUGACCUUGGGCCGGUCUCCCUCUCCAUGCCCCAGCUUCCUAGGUUGACACACCUCACGGGGUUGUUGUGCGAUGAUAAAAUGUGCGUGGAGAACUGUAUGCUGCCCCGAGCUUCUUGGACGAAGGCAAACUUUUCACAAAGAUUUAUGUGCAAGGGCAACAUGUACAUAAAUGUUUGCCUGGGGCUUUCGCUCCUCCAGGCCCACCAUUCUCAAUCACAGGAAGUUCUAUCCCUGGAGCUGCCUCCCUGCUGCUGGGGCCCACUGGGAAUGGUGGGACUGGUGGGAGGCCGGGACGCAAGGCAGGAGGCCAGCAGUAGGUGGUGCCACAGCCAACGACCGUCGCAACUGCAGCCAAUGCUAGGUAGAGACGCUGAGUUUUAGUUCUGCCCUUGCCUUCCUCCCUAUUGAGUUCUACCAAGAUGAAGGAGAAGGAAGCUGACACCUAGGGUCACUCGCUCGACAGGGUAUAAGCGAGAAGGCCGUCAGAUGGGCUGGCUGAUGGCAGACCGAGGUCAGUCACAAAAUCUGAGGUCACAAGAUUUGGCAAGGUGCGAAUUUAAAGGAUUUUGUUCACGUAUUGGCUCAGGAAUUGCAAAUCAGGAAAAUUCUCAGGGAAGUGCAAGAAGAGAAUUAUAGAUAUCGUAUAUGUUUGUGAUGAGCAGGCCAGGGAGGAUAAACAUGUCUAUAUUUUGUGUUUUUCGCCUACAGUCAUCCGGCCCCAGGUAGCCGAUCUCCUGUGGAACCCUAGGAAAAUAAAAAAGGUAAAUAUGGGGCGCUUCUGUCCAGGAGCAGUUGCUUUUGCGGGCAGGUGUUUUAUUCACAGCUUGCUUUUAGCUGGCAUCCAGAUUGCAGCGUCUUCUAGGGGUGAAGAACCAGACCUGUUUCUAAGGGGUGUUUUAUUUUUGAAAGCCCACAAGAGGGCAGAAUACUUGCCCAGGAGGCAGCAGCGUUAAGCACGGCGCAGUCCUCCCAAUGUCCACUUGGGGGCAGCAGCACAACAGCUUCCCUUUUGGAGAGGUGUGUUGGGCAAUGUGGAGCUCCCCCCAUGGGCAUUUUGUGAACUGCAUAUAUUGCAUACCUCCUCCUCAUGGGACGAUGGUCCCCCCUGGUGGCUGGUUGGCAAAUUGCACCAUACCCAACCGUUGGGCCUUGAAGUCCCGGGUUCGAAUCCCACGAGCCCCGGGCUCCUGUUCACCGCUGCCAGGACGCCUCUGCUUGCUGCAUGGUUGUUAACCUUGGAAAUGUUCCCGUUCCAGCUCCAGCCAUGUCUUCGGAUGCCGAGAUGGCCGAUUUUGGCCCCGCAGCCCCUUACCUGCGCAUGUCGGAGAAGCAGAGGAUCGAGGCGCAGAACCGGCCUUUUGACAUGAAGAAGGACGUCUUCGUGCCGGAUGAGAAGCUGGAGUUCGUCAAGGCCAAGAUCACGUCCAGGGAUGGUGGCAAAGUCACCGCGGACACAGAGAACGGCAAGGUGCUGGGCUGUUUCUUGUGCUCUCAUGCCCAUCCCAUCGUAUAAUAAUAGUAAUAAUAAUAAUAAUAAUUUAUUAUUUGUAUCCCGCCCAUCUGGCUGUGUUUCCCCAGCCACUCUAUGCGGCUUCCAACAAAGAUUAAAAAUACAUUAAAAUGUCACACAUUAAAAACUUCCCUGAGCAGGGCUGCCUUCAGAUGUCUUCUGAAUGUCAGGUAGUUGUUUAUCUCUUUGACAUCUGGUGGGAGGGUGUUCCACAGCGUGGGCGCCACUACCGAGAAGGCCCUCUGCCUGGUUCCCUGUAGCUGUGCUUCUUGCAGUGAGGGAACCAGCAGAAGGCCCUCAGCGCUGGACCUCAGUGUCCGGGCAGAACGAUGGGGGUGGAGACGCUCCUUCAGGUAUACUGGGCCGUUUAGGGCUUUAAAGGUCAGCACCAACACUUUGAAUUGUGCUCAGAAACGUGCUGGGAGCCUAUGUAGUAUCUCUUCUGCGUGUUGUGCUCCAAAACUUCUAAAACUUUGGCAUUAAAAAAAUGCCUCCCACAACCAUCUUCCCUUCUGCCCAACACCAUGCCCCCAUGAUCUCUCCUCUGUCUUUUUAGAAAUGCUGUUCUGGCCACCCACCUCCCCAGUGAGGCGAAGUGCCAGCUGCCAUGCCCUGACUGGGGUCUUCUAGUGCGGCUGCCCCUGUUCUGUCGAGCGGGCAUCCCUGUUGUGUCACUUCCAUUUUCCAUCUAUGGCUUCCUUCCAUCCUCUCCCUGCUACCCAAGUAAAAAAAGAGGUGGUGUCCAAUGCUAGUCCUACUCAGAGUAGACCCAUUGGAAUCCGCGGACCUGAGUGGGGCCCGUUAACUUCAUUGCAUCUGCUCUGAGGAGGGCACUGGACGCAACCCGGUGGGUUCAAUUUGGGGGGCCGUUUGGGGGAGGAAGAGGUUUGCCGUCCUUUGGGCGCUGCCUGUCCCGCUGGCUUGAGGCUUCACUGCCUUCUCUCCGCAGACGGUGACGGUGAAGGAAGACCAGAUCAUGCAGCAGAACCCGCCCAAGUUCGACAAGAUCGAGGACAUGGCCAUGCUGACCUUCCUGCACGAACCUGCCGUCCUCUACAACCUCAAGGAGCGCUACGCCGCCUGGAUGAUCUAUGUAAGUGAGCACAAUCCUUCCUGGCACCCGGGAAGAUGCCUUAUCUCAAGUCAGGCCAUUUUGGGUCUGUGUAGCUCAGUAUUGAAAGGGAUGCAGGUGGCGCUGUGGGUUAAACCACAGAGCCUAGGACUUGCUGAUCAGAAGGUCGGCGGUUCGAAUCCCCACAAUGGGGUGAGCUCCCGCUGCUCGGUCCCUGCUCCUGCCAACCUAGCAGUUCGAAAACACGUCAAAGUGCAAGUAGAUAAAUAGGUACCGCUCCGGCGGGAAGGUAAACGGCGUUUCCGUGAGCUGCUCUGGUUCGCCAGAAGCGGCUGAGUCAUGCUGGCCACAUGACCCGGAAGCUGUACACCGGCUCCCUCGGCCAGUAAAGCGAGAUGAGCAACCCCAGAGUCGGCCACAACUGGACCUAAUGGUCAGGGGUCCCUUUACCUUUACCUUUAGCUCAGUAUCACCAGCAGUGGCUCUCCAGGGUGUCAGGCAGGGAUCUUCAACCUGGGACCUUCUGCAUGCAAAGCAGGUGUCCUCUCCCAGUGCUAUGGCCCUUCCUUGUAGGAAACUUGCAGGCCUCCGGGUGACGCUGGUCUCCUCCUCCUCCCGUCCAUCAAGACAGCUGCUGGGCUGAGAGGCCCAGCAGACAUUCCCCCUUACCCAGCACCUGAACAUCAUCCAGAAUCUGCAAUAUUCCCACCUCGCUGGAGUGGACUUGUUGGGCACUGAUAGUUAAGGGUGUUAAGAGAGCCCUGCAGGAUCGAACCAGAAUUCCACCUACCCCAGCUUUCGGCUUCCAACAGUGGACAGUCGUUGGGUUUCCUGGAAACCUGCAGGGCGGGUUAAAAAUAAUAAUUCCAGGCCUCCUGAGGUUCUCGGCUUCCUUUCACAACCCGCACCAUCCUUCAAGUUUCUUGCCAUUUUAAUUCACCACAAGACAUCAUUUUCUUACAGAACGACCUUCCUCCUCCCUCCUCUUCCCUCUCUCCUCUAUAGACCUAUUCCGGGCUCUUCUGCGUGACUGUCAACCCCUACAAGUGGUUGCCGGUCUACAACGCGGAAGUGGUGGCUGCCUACCGGGGGAAGAAGCGAAGCGAAGCCCCUCCCCACAUCUUCUCCAUCUCUGACAACGCCUAUCAGUAUAUGCUGACAGGUAAGGAAAAGGGGGAAGGAAUGCGGGUGGCGCUGUGGUCUAAACCACUGAGUCUCUUGGGCUUGCCAAUCGGAAGGUUGGCAGUUCGGUCCCUGCUCCUGCCAACCUAGCAGUUUGAAAGCACGUCAAAGUGCAAGUAGAUAAAUAGGUACCACUCCGGCGGGAAGGUAAACAGUGUUUCCAUGCGCUGCUCUGGUUUCGCUAGAAGCAGCUUAGUCAUGCUGGCCACAUGACCCGGAAAAACUGUCUGCGGACAAACGUCGGCUCCCUCGGCCAGUAAAGCGAGAUGAGCGCAGCAACCCCAGAGUCGUUCACGACUGGACCUAACGACCUAACGGUCAGGAGUCCCUUUACCUUUACCUUUUAAGGAAAAGGGGGAGGGUGCAGAAACUCUCUCUCUCUCUCUCUCUCUGUGUGUGUGUUGGCAAGAAACUGGGGAGCAAAAAUCCUGCUUUGCUAUUUUCCACUUCCUAUUUCUUCUGUGUUUUCUCCCUUUCCAUUUUCCCCUCCUCUCUUUCCUUUUAACUCUUCUCUCUCUCUCUCUCUAGAUCGUGAGAACCAGUCUAUCCUGAUCACGUAAGUCCUCCCUUCCCUUCCCCUCUCCUUUCUGUUUCUUCCUACAAAGUCUCCAGAACACCCUUAGGAAGCUGGCUUUGCCCUAGUCAGACCUAGCUCCAUAUUGCCUGCACUGACUGGCAACAGCUCCUCAGCAUUUUCCUGCAGGGUUCUUUUGCAGCCGGGGAAUGAACCUGGGAUCCCCUGGAUGGUAGCGCUUGAGACUCUUCAUCUUAGGGUUGUGGGUUCAAGGCCCAUGUUGGGCAAAAGAUUCCUGGACUGCAGGGGGUUGGACUAGAUAGCCCCCGACUCCCUUCCAACUCUACAAUUCUAUGAUUCUAUAACAUCUGCAAAGCAGAUGUUAUGGCCCUUCCACCCUAAAACCUGCCAUUCUAUCUAAGGCUGCCUCUUGGUCUAUUCAUUUUAUUUCAUAAAAUUUAUAUACUGCUUGAUUUUAUUUUUAAACCCUCCAAGUGGUUGGGCCAUCAACUCCUGACACUGCUGUUUUGGCUGUCUCCAUCAAAAUAAUAAUAAUAAUAAUAAUAAUAAUAAUAAUAAUAAUAAUUUAUACCCUGCCCAUCUGGCUGGGUUUCCCUGUCUGGGCGGCUCCCAACAGAAUAUUAAAUUUACGAUAAAACAUCGAACAUUAAAAAAUUCCCUAAACAGGUCUUCCCUAAAACCCAUUGACACCAUGGCAAACCUCCAGCUCACGCUCAUUCCCCCUUUUCUCAUUUGCCCUCUUCUGUAUCUAGAUGGAACUAUUGCUUCCUCACCUGGUCUCCUGGGGUGAGCAGCAAGAAUUGGCCAGGUGACCAUCUGAGCAAGGAAGAUUCACAAAAUUGGGUGGUUCUCCCUCUCCGCUGCUGUUUGUGCCACAGACUUAACUAUUAAAAAUCAGGUUCCUUGCCUUUGUUGAUUCUCUGCAAAGCUACAAUACUAUUCCUUAUUUGCAACACAAAAUGGUUAAUGCUGUAAUGGCAGCCCAUGACGCUUGUACUCUUAAGAACAGCCAUGGUAUAUUAGAAUAAUAAAUUACAUUUUUUAAAAAUACCAUUGAUUUUGGGGUGGGGGGGAUUACUCGAGAGCCACUGGAAGUGGGAUGAGGAUGUAGCUGAUCGAUCGGUUGAUCAGUCUACAAACACACCCGCUCUUCAGCCUCGUUUUUCUGCCCCACAGCGGAGAAUCCGGGGCAGGGAAGACUGUCAACACCAAGCGUGUCAUCCAGUACUUCGCGGUGAUCGCUGCCAUCGGCGACCGGACCAAGAAGGAGCAAGCCGCGGCUACCGGCAAGGUGACCGUUUUGUCUGCCUCUGGCUUCUUGUAGUGGUAGCUGGCCUCCUCCAGGGCUGGUAGGGCAAAAGGACAGGAGACGAACACCAGGUGGCGCCAGAGAAAAUGAUAGGUGGAACCACCCACCCCCUGAUUGGCUAGAGGUGAAGCAGGCAGGCAGGGAGGGCUAGCUGAGAGCCUAAAGGACCAGCUGGCUGCCUUCCUCACCUAGACCACGUGAAAAGCAGCCCGACCACAGCUACUCAGAGCUUCAAGCAGGCAACAAAAGCCAGAGGGGCAAGGAAGAAGGAGCUGGCACUGUCCACGGACUUCUGUCGUCGUAUCUUUCCCACUGCUAACCACGUUCCCUUCUCCUCCUGCUCCUCCGGCCUCUAAGCUGUUUGCUGAUAUUAUAUUCAUAUCCCACCUUUGCUCCAAGAUGUUCCUCUCCACAUUUUACCCCUGUGAGGUAGGCUCGGCUGACAGAUGGUGACUGGCCCGAGAUAAUAAUAACAAUAAUUAUCACACAGCAAGCUUUCUGGCCCAGAGGGGAGUUGAACCCUGGUAUCCCAAGUCCAAGUCUGGCACUCUAACCAUGAAACCACACUGGUCCUCACGUGUUUAAACAGGCAUUCCCCGAAUCUGAUGACUCAAACCUCCUUCUUCCAUUGUUUUGGUUGCUAUUCUAAAUGGGCUUCCUUUAUUGUACAUUGCAAUUAUGGAUUUUAUUCAAGUCUGCUAUAUAGUGGUACCUCGGGUUACAGAUGCUUCAGGUUACAGACUCCGUUAACCCAGAAAUAGUACCUUGGGUUAAGAACUUUGCUUCAGGAUGAGAACAGAAAUCGUGUGGCGGCAGCGGGAGGCCCCAUUAGCUAGAGUGGUCCCUCAGGUCAAGAACAGUUUCAGAUUAAGAACAGACCUCCAGAACGAAUUAAGUUCUUAACCCGAGGUACCACUGUAUGUGUAUAUAGAUACAAAUAUAUUGGUUUUAGAUUUGUAAGCCACUUUUGGUGAUGAAGAGGCAUGCAAAUGAAUAAGGAAUAAUAAUGAGCUGGUAGAGAGAAUGUUUCUAACCUUUCGCUGUACCGACAGGGGACUCUGGAAGAUCAAAUCAUCCAGGCCAACCCUGCACUGGAGGCCUUUGGGAAUGCCAAGACUGUCCGGAACGACAACUCGUCCCGAUUUGUGAGUGUCGCUCGAGAGGGAAUUUGAGGCAGGGGCGAGGGGGGGACUACACUGCCAAAAUAACUGCCUACGAGGUUGCAUAAUCCCAUAUAGGCCCACUCAAGUCGCUUCCACCUGCAGAACUGGCACUGCUACAGGGGCCCAAUCACCCUCGUUCUGCAAUGGUGAGAAACAGAUCUUUUAGUGCUUCAGCUUCCAAACUUUGGAACUCCCUGCCACUUGAUAUCAGAGGACUCGUUUCAGCAUCUGCUAAACACAUUUCUGUCUAGGCAAGACUCCCCAGGGAUUUAGAACAUUGCCGUGUGUUAGAUAAUUAUUAUUUGUGCUCCCCCCGCCCUGCCUGCACCUCCUGCUCAGUUUCUUCUUUUCUCUUCCAGGGCAAAUUCAUCCGGAUCCAUUUUGGGGCGACAGGGAAGCUGGCCUCAGCCGACAUAGAGACCUGUGAGUUUGCCAAAGGCCUGUCCUUCUUUCCUUCUCCUGAUCUCUGGCCCUCCUCCCUGAAUUAACGUAAGGUCGCAAGUAAGGCCCUGCUGGCCGGAUCAGGCCAAUGGUGCACCUAGCCCACCCCUUGUUCUCACCUGUGGGAACCCCCAUAAAACGCAGAACCCGAGUGCAAGAGCAUCUUCGCCUCUUGCGGUUCCCAGCUGCUCAUAUUGCCUCCAACAGUGGAGAUGGAAGUUUGGCUAGAAGCCUGUAUCCUCCAUGAAUUUUUUCCCCUUUUGCUGUUGCUCCUCCGUUUCAACUGCCCCGCCUUCUCUUCCUCUUAAUUCCUCAGACCUCCUGGAAAAGUCCCGGGUCAUCAAUCAGCUGAAAGCUGAGAGGAACUACCACAUCUACUACCAGAUCUUGUCCAACAAGAAGCCGGAGCUCCUAGGUGAGUUGCUGCAAAGGAGAGCCACUCUGGCCCGGGUCUGAGAUCUUGUUCUGUGCGCGGAAGAAAUCUAAGCCUGUGCUAGAACGGCGGUAGGGCACCUGGUCUGCGGGCAGAAGGUCCUAGGGAUUCCCUGCCUGGAAGGCUGCCAGUCAGAGUAGACAAUGCUGAGCUACAGCAUAGGUCGGCAAACUAAGGUAAUUAGAUACAAAAAAAAUAGGGGGAAAUUGGAAAUUAAAAAACAUAUAUAUUAAAAAUAAAAAUAAAAGGGACAAUCUUCCUUUUGCCUUAUUCCCUGCCCAAUGCCUUUCCUUCCCAGACAUGAUGCUGGUAACCAAUAACCCGUACGACUACGCCUUCAUCUCCCAAGGAGAGACCACGGUGCCGUCCAUCGAUGACGCUGAGGAGCUGCUGGCCACUGACGUGAGUAGCUGGGGUGGGGGGCAGAAGCCGUAUUCCAAGCGAGUCACCCACCCCUCGCGGCCGUGUGAGCAGCAACACCCAACCCUCCCUUUGCUUCCUCCCCCCGCAGAGCGCCUUUGACGUCUUAGGCUUCACCCAGGAAGAGAAGAACUCCAUCUACAAGCUGACGGGCGCCAUCAUGCACUACGGAAACAUGAAGUUCAAACAGAAGCAGCGCGAGGAGCAGGCAGAGCCCGACGGCACAGAAGGUGAGGAAGGAUGCUCGCGAUGAUAGGCAAGCGAGGCAAAUGAACGCUGGGUCACAGGGAAGGAUCCUCUGUCCCAGCCUUCCCCAACCUGAUGCCUCCUUUGCGUCAAGAAAACAGAACCCCACAACUUGUGUAAAUUAUAGAUACAUGUAUAUGCAUAUAGGGACGCAGGUGGCGCUGUGGGUUAAACCACAGAGCCUAGGGCUUGCCGAUCAGAAGGUCGGCGGUUCGAAUCCCCGCGACGGGGUGAGCUCCCGUUGCUCGGUCCCUGCUCCUGCCAACCCAGCAGUUCGAAAGCACGUCAAAGUGCAAGUAGAUAAGUAGGUACCGCUCUGGCGGGAAGGUAAACGGUGUUUCCGUGCACUGCUCUGGUUCGCCAGAAGCGGCUUAGUCAUGCUAGCCACAUGACCCGGAAGCUGUACACCGGCUCCCUCGGCCAAUAAAGCGAGAUGAGCGCUGCAACCCCAGAGUCGGUCACGACUGGACGUAAUGGUCAGAGGUCCCUUUACCUUUUGUUUUGGCAAAUCCUGGGCAGGAGUCACGUGGGGCAAUGAAACCCUCCUGCAGCUGGAGAAAUUCCAGCUGCCUCUCUUAUUCAUUAAUUUAUUCAUCCAAAUAAUAAUGAUAAUUUAUUUCUACCCCACCCAUCUGGCUGCGUUUCCCCAGCCACUCUGGGCGGCUUUCAACAGAACAUUAAAAACACGAUAAAACAUCAAACAUCAAAAACUUCCCUAAAGAUUUCGUCAUACUUUGCCUGCUGCCUCCGCCCUGUUUCUAGCCUUGAUCAUUUUAAUAAUUUUAAAUGGAAUUUAAAUGAAAGGAGGCCCUCUUGGUUUCCUGACGCAUAGCAGAAGUCGGUAGCAGAAUCCUGUGCAUACUCAGAGCGUCCCCAAGAGGUUGGGAGAGGUGGGCCCGCUUCCCUCACGGGGUCCGCCUUUGAGGCUGCCUCGCUUUUGGGAGCCCUUCUGUCUUUUCUUCUGCCGUUCCUCAACCAAGAUGAGCCAUGGUAUAACCAAGUGGUUUCCUCCCCACCCACCCCCUGCCCCAAUUCUGAAUUUCCAGAAGCCGACAAGUCUGCCUACCUGAUGGGCCUGAACUCGGCCGACCUGCUCAAAGGUCUCUGCCACCCGAGGGUCAAAGUUGGGAAUGAGUACGUCACCAAAGGGCAAAAUGUCCAGCAGGUGAGAGACAGACUUGGAUAUGAAAUGUGUGGGGGCAUUCUUCCGAGGUUUUGAAGGCCACAGGUUGCCCCCUCGAUCUUCCCAGAUUUGUUUUAGCUGGUUAAUGAGAUGUACCUCUCUCUCUCUCCUCCCCCCUUUUAAAAAACAACCCAGGUGUACUACUCGACUGGAGCCCUGGCCAAGUCUGUAUAUGAGAAAAUGUUCAACUGGAUGGUGACCAGAAUCAAUGUCACGCUGGAAACCAAGCUUCCACGACAGUAUUUCAUCGGGGUGCUGGACAUUGCUGGUUUUGAGAUCUUCGAUGUAAGUGGUUCUCUUCCAAGGAGAAUCCAUUUUGAGAUUUUGAGUACCGUAUUUUUCACUCAUAAGACGCACCAGACCACAAGACGCACCUAGUUUUUGGAGGAGGAAAACAAGAAAAAAAAUAUUCUGAAUCUCAGAAGCCAGAACAGCAAGAGGGAUCGCUGCGCAGUGAAAGCAGCAAUCCCUCUUGCUGUUCUGGCUUCUGGGAUAGCUGCGCAGCCUGCAUUCACUCCAUAAGACGCACACACAUUUCCCCUUACUUUUUAGGAGGGAAAAAGUGAGUCUUAUAGAGCAAAAAAUACGGUAAAUAACUGGGCGGUCCAGCUUGGCUUUGCCAGGUGGAAACCAGGAAAGACGAAUGGGUGGUCCAGCGUGACCGACAAAUAACCGUCUGGUCCCCAUUUCUGCUGGCAUUAUUAUUAUUCUUAUUAUUAUUACUACCACCCACUCAUGAAUCUAUGCAAAAUAGUUCAUGAGGUAAUUUUCAGAAGGCUUCCUGCAAAGACUGGCAGCCUUCAACAUCACUCCUGGCUAGUGAGCCAGUGUGCUGGAGCAGUUAGAGUUCCAGACUAGGACCCAGGAGACCAGGGUUCGAAUCCCUGCUCAGCCAUGAAGCUCACUGAGUGCACCCAUCACUGCCUCUCAGCCUAAGCUACCUCACAGGGUUGUUGCAGGGAUGGAUUGAAAAGGAGGGGGAGACCUGUAUGUGACCACCUUGGCUCCUUAUGAGGAAAAAGGUUGGUUAAGACACAUAAGUAGAGGGAGACAACCUGGAGGGGAGGACAGAUUGCCAUUCCUUGAUUUCCUUUCCCCCCUCUCUCUUCCCAGUUCAACAGCUUUGAGCAGCUGUGCAUCAACUUCACCAACGAGAAGCUGCAGCAGUUCUUCAACCACCACAUGUUUGUGCUGGAGCAGGAAGAGUACAAGAAAGAAGGGAUCGAGUGGGUCUUCAUCGACUUCGGCAUGGACCUCCAAGCCUGCAUCGACCUCAUCGAGAAGGUGCCUCCUUGCUUCCGGCGCCCUCCUUAGUCCCCAAAGGGCAACUUCACUUAUUUACGCCUAAGUUGGGGCAAUUGCCUCCCAGAGUGGGCAAGGUUGUCGAUAGGUAGGGCAGUAAGAGAUUGUAAAGGUAAAGGGACCUCUGACCAUUAGGUCCAGUCCUGGCCGACUCUGGGGUUGCGGCGCUCAUCUCGCUUUGGUGGCCAAGGGAGCCGGCGUACAACUUCCGGGUCAUGUGGCCAGCAGGACUAAGCCGCUUCUGGCGAAACAGAGCAGCGCACAGAAAUGCCGUUUACAUUCCCGCCGGAGCAGUACCUAUUUAUCUACUUGCACUUGGACGUGCUUUCGAACUGCUAGGUUGGCGGGAGCAGGGACCGAGCAACGGGAGCUCACCCCGUAGCGGGGAUUCGAACCGCCGACCUUCUGAUCGGCAAGUCCUAGGCUCUGUGGUUUAACCCACAGCGCCACCCGCAUCCCAUGAUUGUAGAAUCAUGGAAUUGUGGGGUUGAGACCCUCAAGAGUCAUCCAUUCCAACCCCUUGAGGUAAAGCUAAAGAAUCCCUUCCAGGAGGUCAUCCAACCUCUGUUUAAAAACCUCCAAUGAUUACUAGAUCUGUCUAUUUCUCUUCCAUCUCAGUUUCACAUGUGCCACAAUCAUAGGCCCAUUCCAUAUCAUGGAUUUUUCAAAAGAAUGCAUGGGAAAUUUGCAUUUGUCCACCUUUCAUGCACAAUUCUUCCCCCGGGAAUGUGCGUUUUUGCAUCCUCUUCAGCACCCAGCUCCAAAAUAUGCAUCCCCCCCCACGCAUUUUAAAAAUGUAAAAUGCAUUCAGUGGUACCUUGGUUCUCAAACUUAAUCCGUUCUGGAAGUCCAUUCCAAAACCAAAGCACUCCAAAACCAAGGCACACUUUCCCAUAGAAAGUAACGCAAAACGGAAUAAUUUGUUCCAGACUUUUAAAAACAACCCCAAAAGAGCAAUUUAACAUGAAUCUUACUAUCCAAUGAGACCAUUGAUCCUAAAAUGAAAGCAAUAAUCAAUGUACUAUACUAUAAAAUAAAUAAGACAGUAUUAUAAAUGAUAAAAAUUAAAAAAAAAAAAUUUCUUACCUGCACUGAUGAUAGUCAUCGCUUUUAUCCAUUUCUGCAGUCACACAAUGAAUCGAUCAGUAGCUGAACUGGGUUCCACACGGUCACAAAAACAAAUUAACCAAAAAAGCCUCAAAAGCAAAAAUGCAAAAUAAAUAGCAAAAACAAAAGCACCAAACUUAAUCCAUUCCGGAAGUCCAUUUGACUUCCGAAAUGUUUGAAAACCAAGGAGCCAACAGCUGCAUCAGAUGUUUGGCUUCCGAAAAACGUUCAAAAACGGGAAAAAUUACUUCUAGGUUUUCGGUGUUUGGGAACCAAGGGUCUGACUACCAAGGUGUUUGAGAACUAAGGUACCGCUGUAUUUUUAUAUACAUUUAUUGGCGCCGAGAAUGCAUGGUGACGUUCGGACUUCUGCAAAAUCCACUUUAUAGUUGCGUUCCAAUCUGCACAUUCAGUCUGGGACUGGCAAAUCAAGCUGGCCCUUUUCCAAAAGCAGCCUGGACAAAUUUCUCCUCCAUCCCUAAACGAGGGGAACCACCUGAGGUCAUCUGGAUGCCCUGACAUAUGAACCUGUUGCCUCCACAAUCUGCACAGUCAGAGUAUUCCUUUGUCAGUGUUGGGAGGUUUUAAAGCAGAGCUUGGAUGGCUGCCUGCCAGGGAUUUUUCCUGUGUUGCAGGGGGCUGGACCAGAUGCCCCUUCCGACUCUACCAUUCUUCGAUUACACGCUGCUGCUGCUCUUUAUGGCGAAUGCCAUAAAGAGAAGCGCCGUGGCUCAGUGGUGGAAUACCUGCUUUGCAUGCAGAAGGUCCAAUCCCUGGCCUCUCUCUGUGCUGGGCCCGGGGGUAACCCGUGAAACACGGUCCAGGACCGGUCCAGAAUCCAAAGGUUCUGCUGGGAGACAGUCCGACAGGGCCAAAGCAGGACACGAGGCAGGAAACCAGGCAAGGACAGGUGCAGGAUCUCAGGCAGGAUCUAGCAUACAGCAAUAUUGCUCCCACAACCUGGGGCAGGGUCCGAAAGCCUUUUACCUUCGUCGGGGUAGCGGCCGGUCCUGAUCCCCUGGCGACUCACCUCCCUGAUUCACCCGAAGGCGAGCACUCCUCCUGCGAGUACUCAGGUCUCUCCUUCUCUCAGACCUUAGUCUCUGCAGUUCGGGAGACGUCGGUGGGUUACUAGACCCAGAGGCCGCCUCAGCCUCCCCUGACCCAACUGGUAGUGGAGCAGCUGUAAGUGAUGGCCCAGCUGAAGGCAACGAGGUCAUCCCCACAUCUGGAGCCAGGGCAGGCUCAGGCCCCUGACUCGGCCCAGCUGGUGUUUGUUGCAGGGGAACCUGUACAGACUGGGACUCUUCAGGAUCCGGCCCCAGACUUGGUUCAGAUGAUGCCUGAGGCAAAGGAUCUGGGGCAGACUGAGUCUCCUCUGGUUCCAAGUCUGAGCCCAAGUCCCAGGCCAUCAUACGCUCCCUGCUCAGCCUCUGUGCGAUCAAAAUCUUGGGGGGCCGCUGCCAGUCCGUGUAGAUAGUAUUGAGCUAGGUGGACCCAAUGGCCUAGCUCAGCAUAAGGCAGCUUCCUCCAUCCAUAGCAAACGGCCACGGGGCGGAACUGCCUGCUGGUGCCUCCUCCUCCUCGCCCUCCAUCCCCUGAUGCCUGGUCCUCUUCCACAGCCCAUGGGCAUCAUGUCCAUCCUGGAGGAGGAGUGCAUGUUCCCCAAGGCCACGGACAUGACCUUCAAGGCCAAGCUGUACGACAACCACCUGGGCAAGUCGGCCAACUUUGGGAAGCCCCGCAACAUCAAGGGCAAGCCGGAGGCCCAUUUCUCCCUCAUGCACUAUGCCGGCACCGUCGACUACAACAUCAACCACUGGCUCCAGAAGAACAAGGACCCCCUCAACGAAACCGUGGUGGGGCUCUACCAGAAGUCGUCCCUCAAACUCCUGGCUCAUCUCUUCGCCAACUACACCGGAUCGGACGCACGUAAGGGAGGGAACGGAAGGGGGCAAGGCCGGGCUGUCCGCAUCCCAAACUCCAUUCCGGUCCGUGAGAUUGGAUCUACAGAAAACCAAAGGCUCUGGUUUGGAGUCAUUCGCUUUAAUACUAGGGCAGCCCAGUGACCCUCAGUCAGCGCGGCCGUUGGAGUGUGGGACUAGGAUCUGGGAGACUGGGGUUCGAAUUCCCGCUCUGCCGCAAGGCUUCCUGGGCAACGUUCGGCCUGUCGUUCGCUCUUAGCCUGACUUACCAGGGCACGCGAAUGAAAGCAAAACGCAAACUGGGUGCCUGCCCACAUCGCAUUGCAAUGAAAACAAAACAGUGUUAUGUAUUUGUAAUAAAAAUCAGCAGCCCUUUGUCAGCCUCAUGCCCUGCCCUUGUCUCAGUGCAUAUAGUUUCAAGCCAGCCACUAAUAAUAAUAAUAAUAAAUUUUAUUUAUACCCCACCCUCCCCAGCCAAGACCGGGCUCAGGGCGGCUCACAACCAAUAAUAAAAACAAGUUGAUUAAAAUACAACUUAAAAAACAAGAUUAAAAUACAACAUUAAAACAUUAAGAUGCAGCCUCUUCACAGGAGGAGAAAGGAAAAAAGAAAGAGGAGGAGGGAAUCAAAUUGAUUCUAAGCCAAAGGCCAGGCAGAACAACUCUGUCUUACAGGCCCUGCAGAAAGAAAUCAGAUCCCGCAGGGCCCUGGUCUCAUGAGACAGAGCGUUCCACCAGGCAGGAGCCAGUGUUGAAAAGGCCCUGGCUCUGGUUGAGGCUAAUCUGACUUCCUUAGGGCCCGGGACCUCUAGGGUGUUGCUAUUUAUGGACCUUAAGGUCCUCCGUGGGGCAUACCGGGAGAGGCGGUCCUGUAGGUACGAGGGUCCUAGGCUGUGAAGGGCUUUAAAUUCAUGGGAGUCCUCUCCAACCAUGUAGAUAUUUGAGAUGUAGCGGGGGAAACCUGUGACCCUCUCCUGUUGGAUCCCAUGCCUUCCUGAUUAAUGCAUUCCGGUAUUUCUGCACAUAUCCUCACCCUUUAGGCUGCAUCUUGAAUCCCCGUUUUUCUCUCUCCAAACAGCUCCUGAUUCCAAGGGGAAAACGACCCACAAAAAGAAGGGCUCUUCCUUCCAGACUGUGUCUGCUCUGCACCGGGUGAGGAUAUCCUGAGGCCUGCUUCCUUGGAGAGUCUGGCAGCACCAUCCUUAGGCGGCAGCCCUUGGGCUGCGCUCCUUCCUUACUCCUGGGGCUCCUCUGCUUCCUUGCAAACCCUUUCCCCAGAGGAGAAUGAGCUUCUGUGGUGGGCUUCCUCUGGUUGCAGCGCUCUCCUUAGGUCUACUUGCCCCAUCACCACCAACCUGGUUGGCUGUCUGGAAACAAAAAGGGUUGCAAGGACGUUAUUGGGGGACCCAGCGAGGGCUGAGCCAAGCUUGCCAUGUUGCUCCCAUCGCCCAAACUUCUCUUCAGUGGAGGCCACUGAGAGUUCCCACAACGAAGACCAAGUGGACAAACGCAUCUCUUCUCCCCAGCCACUGACUUAUGUCCAUCUCGAUCUUUUCAUCCCAUCCCAGCCUCUUCUAUAUUAUGUUUUGGACUUUUUCUUUUUUCUCCUCUUUGGCGAUCCCUCGUAGCCGAGUAAGAUUGUCUUCCAUGAACACGGUCUUAACAGUGAGUCUGUAAGUGACUGUGGAGGCCAAUUCUGGAUCCACAGGUCCUUCCAUGGUGGGCACAUAGGUUUCCGGGCGGGAGCUGAUUAUGGUGAGGGUUUGCCUAAUGUGCCUUCCUCUUAGCACAGCCUUUCUCAACCUGUGAGCAAGGCCAGAGCUCAGGGAUGAUGGGAGUUGUAGUCCAACAACAUCUGGGGACCCACAGGUUGAGAACCGCUGUCUUAGCACAUUUCUCCCUUUUGUCCAGAGUUCGAGUGUCUUCAAAGUCCUUGACACCUUUAAUAAACGCUGUCCUCCAACUAGAGUGCUCGCAGGCCAGUAUUUCCCAGUUGUCAGUGUUUAUACUACAUUUUUUAAGAUUUGCCUUGAGAGAGUCUUUAAACCUCUUUUGUUGACCACCAGCAUUACACUUUCCAUUUUUAAGUUGGGAAUAGAGUAGUUGCUUUGGAAGACGAUAAUCAGACAUCCUGAUUAUUUUGGACAGCAACUUGGCUGGCUGGGGCUGAUGGAAUUUGUAGUCCAAAGCAUCUAGAGCAGGCAUGGCCAAACAUGGCCCUCCAUAUGUUUUGGGACUACAAUUCCUAUCAUCCCUGACCACUGGUCCUGUUAGCUAGGGAUGAUGGGAGUUGUAGUCCCAAAACAUCUGGAGGGCCUGAUCUAGAGGUUGGCCAAGCCUGCCUUGUGGCCUCCAGUCCCUUUUUCUCAUCCUCCUUCCUGUCUCCAGCAAAACUAUAACUCCUUUUCUCUGCCUGCUUUCCUUCCCCGUCAAUCAAAUCCAUCUGCCCAUCCUCUGCCUUGCCUGCCUGGACACCUCUCAUUCCGCCCUCUUUCAUAAAACUCGCUCCAUCUCAACUACCUGCCUGCCUUCCCAGGUUGUCCUUCCUCGCCUCUCCCCUUCCUCCACCCCAUCUCAACUCGCCUGCUCUUCCUUUCUCACCCAGGAGAACCUCAACAAGCUGAUGACCAACCUGCGCUCCACCCACCCUCACUUUGUGCGCUGCAUCAUCCCCAACGAGACCAAGUCUCCAGGUGAGAUCCCAGGUCCCUCUUGUAUGAUGUGCCUUUGGGGCCCUAGCGCUCUCUCUCUCUUGGACUCCCAUCAGUCCAAGCCAGCACGGCCAAUGGUCAGGGGUGGUGAGAGCUGUAGUCCUUACGGAAGGCCUGUAGCUCAGUGGUAGAGCCACCUGCCUUGCACGCUGAAAGUCGCAGGUUCAAUCCCUGGUGUCUCCAAUUAGGGUUUCCAUUGUAACUGGGGUAACCCCAGUGAGAGAGAUUUUUUGAAGUAUUUUAAGUGGUUAGGAAAUGCUUUUAAAUCACUAGAUUAAAGUGCUUACUUGGUAGGGACUGAUUUCCCCCAUUCAUGCACCCUUCCCCUUUCUCCUGCUCUCUCAGGUGUGAUGGACAACCCCUUGGUCAUGCACCAGCUGCGCUGUAACGGGGUGCUGGAGGGGAUUCGGAUCUGCCGGAAGGGGUUCCCCAACCGGAUCCUCUACGGGGACUUCCGUCAAAGGUAGGCUUAACUCUCAAGUGGGUGAAGACGGAUGAUGCUUCAGAAAAGCUGAGAGUGUCACUGGGGGAAGGUACAUGAAUAUGGGGGUGCCCCGAGCGCAAUGGGGCAACGUCGGAGGAAAGUUGCCCGCAUGGCAGUUCACUGUCAAGGUUAUGUCUGCUCAGUUCAAAAAGAAAAUGCAUCCUGCCUUUUAUACAAUCCUAGAAUUGUAGAGGUGGAAGGGACCCCAAGGACCAUCUAGUCUAACCCCCUGCGGUGCAGAAAUCAUAGCUGUACAUACAGUCCUGCCUUAGUUGUCAAACGCCCUGGAACUCGGACGUUUUGGCUCCCGUACGCCACAAACCCGGAAGUGAUUGUUCUGGUUUGCGAACAUUCUUUUGGAACCCGAAUGUCUGACGGGGCUUCCGCGGCUUCUGAUUAGCUGCAGCAGCUUCCUGCAACCAACCAGAAGCCGCGAUUUGCUUUUCAAACGUUUUGGAAGUUGAACAGAAUUCCAGAAUGGAUUCCGUUCGACUCCCAAGGCCCGACCGUAAAGACAUUUAUAUACCGCUCGAUCUUCAACAUUUUAUCCAAAUGUAAAAGGUACUCACGGUACAGUCCUUAAAUGAUUUUAGCGUUGGAAGAAUUGACCGCUAAUGCCUCACAGUCUCGCAGCUUCAUACCAGCAAAGGAAGCGUUCUAUCCGUUGCGUCGCAGCUCCAACCCACUCGCUCUUGGAGCUCAAAACAGAGCUUGCCGGGGGGGGAGCCUGCUUUUGACCCCCGCUGGAUCCCACGUCCUCAAAAUUUGAGUUUUUUCCUGGGGGUCUGCUACGCUGGAGUGGUUUUCCCCGCCUUUGAUGUACCGAGAUCUCCUCCGACGCAGAGACCUCUGACUGUGAUGGCGCGCGUUCAGCUGGAAGCCCCUGAUCAUCAACAUUUUCAAGUGGUUCUGUGGGGAACUUUGAAGUCCUCUUGAACAUUCCUACCCAAAUCUCUAGUUUCUUGAGAUUUAGGCAUGGGCCACACCUUUCCAAACUUGGUUUCACAGUCAUGAGGACUAGAAAGUUGAUGAGAGAGAGAAAGAUGAGAUUCCCCGGGCCCCAAGUAUUCUGCCACAAUUUAGUUGUGAAAUAUACACGGUCCUGGCCUUUGAUCUGGGCAUCUGCCCACGUUGAGAGGGAAAAGCCUAUGGAAGGGAAGCUGUCGGGGGUUGUCUAGCGCUGCUUCCUUUCCUCUUCCCCAGAUACCGCAUCCUGAACCCAGCCGCCAUCCCCGAAGGCCAGUUCAUCGACAGCAGGAAGGGGGCGGAGAAGCUGUUGAGCUCCCUCGAUAUCGACCACAACCAGUACAAAUUUGGGCACACUAAGGUGAGAGGCGGGAUGAGCCACUUCCUCACAGGGAAAAGGCGGUGACAUCAUCAUUCUGGGCCGCGCUGUUGAUUGGCUCUUCACAACAGAGGAGGCUAGGGCUAAUCCUGGGUUGGGGUAUGUGUUUUCUCCGCUGUCAAGGUUCCUGGUGAGGUUUGGCUUGGCUGUGACACACAAACACAGGCACAGGACCUAAGCUUCAAUAUGUACAGAGCAGGGCAAGCGAAAUCAUAUAGGCCCAGUAGCAAAUUGGUAACCUGUGCAGGGGUCUGCGCACAGGCUGUUUUUCUUAAAACAAAAACCAACCAACCACAAUGCUCUUUUUUUGCCCAGGUGUUCUUCAAGGCUGGUCUCCUGGGUCUGCUGGAGGAGAUGAGGGACGAGCGUCUCUCCCGCAUCAUCACCCGCAUCCAGGCCCAGUCCCGCGGGGUCCUCGCCAGGAUAGAAGUCAGGAAGAUCAUGGAAAGGAAGUAAGCCCCUUAGUGGAUUUUCCCGGAAUUUGUAGGUGUGGUUAGAUGGGGAAUGGCCUGGGCAUGUUGGAGCCCUCCGGUUAGAAUUAGGGAUUAGGCGAGAAAUUCAGUCCAGUUCUCAUUUAAAAGUGAACCUGCCCAAUUUACGGUUACUGAAACUGAAAGCUGGUCAUCCUUCAAGAUUCACAGCUCCCCGAAUUUUGCAAAUGCCGUUCUCCAGGCAAGUAAUGUGCCCCAAAAUGCAUAUAGCAGGGUGAAGUGUGCAGAGAAAUGCACGUAUUAGUGGAAAUAAAUACAUUAACAUGAAGCUAUGCAUAAAAGGGGGGGUGCAGUCGGCAAAAUUGCAUACUCUCGCGGUAAACACUCGCUGGUGAAUUUUCGCGAGGGAUUUUCUAAAAAAAGAACUGCAAACUAAUGUGGAGAAUUGAACGAGGGGAAAUUGGGAGGCUGAGAGACACCAAAAUAGACAGACUCACUCCUCCCUUAGUCAGAACUAGGUGGACUCAGGAAACUGCUCACAUACAAACUAAGCCUUUCUGUAUAAUCUUGAGGACUAUAAAAUUUAUGGAAGAUUACAUUCUCAGGAUGUGGAAUUCUGUGCUUCCUGCACUGAAUGCAACUGCAAAAUGGUGGAAUAAUCCCAACCUUGCUUGUUGCAAGUGAGCCUCCUGUUUCAGGCAGGGCUGCGUGGUCUCCCACUUGGCGAGGUGGCCUUUUCUGUGUUCUGUACCCUGAUGUGUCCUCCCUCACCAUGCCACCCCAAACUCUCCCCUUCUCUGAUUGGCAGGGAAUCGCUGCUGGUGAUCCAGUAUAACAUCCGGUCCUUCAUGGUGGUCAAGAACUGGCCUUGGAUGAGACUCUACUUCAAGAUCAAGCCUCUGCUGAAGAGCGCGGAGACCGAGAAGGAGAUGUUGGCCAUGAAGGAGGAGUUUGCCAAGCUGAAGGAGGCUCUGGAGAAGUCGGAGGCCCGGAGGAAGGAGCUGGAGGAGAAGAUGGUCUCCCUGCUCCAAGAGAAGAACGACCUCCAGCUGCAAGUGCAGGCUGUAAGUUGGGGCGAUGGGGCAACAAAGAUAUGAUUUGACCUUCUCCCUUAACCGCGGGUGGCGCUGUGGGUUAAACCACAAAGCCUAGGACUUGCCGAUCAGAAGGUCGGCGGUUCGAAUCCCCGUGAUGGGCUAAGCUCCCAUUGCUCAGUCCCUGCUCCUGCCAACCUAGCAGUUCGAAAGCACGUCAAAGUGCAAGCAGAUAAAUAGGUACCGCUCCGGCGGGAAGGUAAACGGCGUUUCCAUGCGCUGCUCUGGUUCACCAGAAGCGGCUUAGUCCUGCUGGCCACAUGACCCAGAAGCUGUCUGCGGACAAACGCCGGCUCCCUCGGCCUAUAGAGCGAGAUGAGCGCUGCAACCCCAGAGUCGGUCACGAUUGGACCUAAUGGUCAGGGGUCCCUUCACCUUUACCUUUACUUAACCGCGAAAGGCAAAGUGGCUGAAAAGCACCAUGAACUCCGGGUUUCACAGUAAAGCCUUGGGCGUGUCUUCUUCCUUUGCCAGGAGCAAGACAACCUUGCAGACGCAGAAGAGCGCUGUGACCAGCUGAUCAAGAACAAGAUUCAGCUGGAGGCCAAGGUGAAGGAGCAGACGGAGAGGCUAGAGGAUGAGGAGGAGAUGAACGCCGAGCUGACGGCCAAGAAGCGGAAGCUGGAGGACGAGUGUUCGGAGCUCAAGAAGGACAUUGAUGACCUGGAGCUGACCCUGGCCAAAGUGGAGAAGGAGAAGCACGCCACGGAGAACAAGGUGAGCGGGGAUGGAAGCGAAAUCCAAGGAGCUUUUGCUACUAUCAGCUGGGUCUGGAUCAAGGUUGGCAGCCGGGAGAGUUGAUUCUCCAAGAGAUUCCUGUGCUGGGUGGACUUAGAGUUUUCUUUUGGGAGUCUCCAACCUUUGUUGUGUUCCAUUCAGUGCCGCCUUGAAUUUUGCCUACAUCCACCUUCUUCUUCUUUGGCGAUCACUUAUAGCCGAGUAAGAUUGCCUUCCAUAAACACGGUUUUAACAGUGAGUCCGUAAGUGACUGUGGAGGCGAAUUCUGGAUCCACACGUCCUUCCACAGUGGGGACAAAGGUUUCCAGGCAGGAGUUGAUCACGGUGAGGGUUUGCCAAAUGCACUUUCCUCUUAGCACAUUUCUCUCUUUCGUCCUGAGUUUGAGCGUCUUCAAAGCCCAUGACACCUUUGGUAAAGGCUCUUCUCCAAUUGGAGCACUCACAGGCCAGUGUUUCCCAAUUGUUGGUGUUUAAACUACAUUUUUUAAGAUUUGCCUUGAGACAGUCUUUAAACCUCUUUUGUCGAUCACCAGCAUUGCACUUUCCAUUUUUAAGUUGGGAAUAGAGUAGUUGCUUUGGAAAAAGAUAAUCAGGCAUCCGCACAACAUGACCAGUCCAACAAAAUUUAUGCUGAAGAAUCAUUGCUUCAACGCUGGAUAUCUUUAGUUCACCUGUCUGCCCAUUAGUUCACCUGUCUGCCCAAGUGAUGUGUAAAAAUUUUCUGAGACACUGUUGAUGGAAUCUUUCGAGGAUUCCAUCUAAUAACUCAAAAUUAUAAUAUGCCCAUAGGCUAAGAACCUCACAGAGGAGAUGGCUGGCCUGGAUGAGAUCAUCGUGAAGCUAACCAAGGAGAAGAAAGCUCUCCAGGAGGCCCACCAGCAAGCCUUGGAUGACCUACAAGCUGAGGAAGACAAGGUCAACACCCUUACGAAAGCCAAGGUCAAGUUGGAACAGCAAGUGGACGAUGUAAGUGCAUCGACUGCAACACUCGCAGGGGAGACAGCCUGUUAUUUUUCGCACCUUCCUUGAAGUAGUCGGAGGCAUUCCGUGUAGUAAAAAAGCCCCACACACAAGUACAUUGUUGAUCUUAGGAGUAGCAAUUCCUUUCUCAGUUUCUGGAUUCAGGGUCUCACUGUCUUUGCUCAACAGCUGGAAGGAUCGCUGGAGCAAGAGAAGAAAAUCCGUAUGGACCUGGAACGAGCCAAGAGGAAGUUGGAAGGGGACUUGAAGCUGACCCAAGAAAGCAUCAUGGACCUGGAGAACGACAAGCAGCAGUUGGACGAGAAGCUGAAGAAGUAGGGGUGCUUUAGUUUAUCGCCAACUCCCCGCCCCCAACUCCUUUGUUGUUCUACUGCUGCCUGCCUCUCUGUGGUUGGAUGUAGCAAGUUGGUUCUUGUCUUCCCCAGGAAAGACUUUGAGCUCAACGCACUCAAUGCUAGAAUUGAAGAUGAGCAAUCCUUGGCCAUCCAGUUGCAGAAGAAGCUCAAAGAGCUACAGGUAAAAGGUUGAUGACAGGGUGGUGUGCGUUGAAGCCAACUUCACUGGUGUGGUCUCUCUCCCCCUCUGUCUGUCUGUCUGUCUCUAUCUGUGUGUGUGUGUGUGUGUGUGUGUGUGUGUGUGUGUAACUAAGGACCAAAAUGAGGCAUAUUUUUGGGUAGAGGAUAGCUGCUUCCAACAGAGCAAUAACUUCUGAGAAAUUCUGUACCUCAAAUAUCUGCUGUAAGGAAUGGGGAUGUUAUUAGCAACCAUGUUAGCUUUACAUUCUGAUCAGUUUUCUGCCAUUUUUUUUAAAACCCACAAACCUCUCGCAUUUAAAUUGUAUGCAUUUCCCUCUAAAAUAUACACGCUUGCAUGCACUUUCCUACGAAAUGCAUUUCCGGAUGCAACCUUACAAGCUGAGAAUUGCAUCGUUCAUUCACUCCGAAGGAUACAGUCGUAACUUGGAUCCUGAAUGCCCUGGAACUCGGACGCUUUGGCUCCUGAACACUGCAAACCCGGAAGUGAUUGUUCUGGUUUACAAACGUUCUUUUGGAACCUGAACGUCCAACGGGGCUUCCAGGGCUUCUGAUUGGCUGCAGGAGCUUCCUGCAGCCAAUCAGAAGCCACAGUUUGGUUUUUGAACGUUUUGGAAGUCAGAACGGAUUCUGUUUGACUUCCAAGGUACGACUGUAACUGUGUUCCGAUCCAUGUAUUAGUCUAGGAAGUGCAAAUUGGGUCAGUCCACUUAAAGAUUUAGAUUGAAUGGAAUCCUCCAGUGCCCCUAGAUGUUAUUGACCUUUGAACCUCCAUGGAAGCUUCACGAAUCUGGAUCUAGGCCUGGGCUUUUGAAAUGGAGGCCGCCGACAGAAUUCCUGGAGCGUGCUUUUCUGGAUCUUGCUGACAGAAUGUCUCCCUCCUUCCCUGGUCCAGGCGCGGAUUGAGGAGCUGGAAGAGGAGCUGGAGGCGGAGCGCACAGCCCGGGCCAAGGUGGAGAAGCAGCGCUCCGACCUCUCGCGGGAGCUGGAGGAGAUCAGCGAGCGGCUGGAGGAGGCCGGAGGGGCGACGUCCGUGCAGAUCGAGCUGAACAAGAAGCGGGAGGCGGAAUUCCAGAAGAUGCGCCGCGACCUGGAGGAGGCGACUCUGCAGCACGAGGCCACGGCGGCCACGCUCCGCAAGAAGCACGCCGACUCGGCGGCAGAGCUGGGGGAGCAGAUCGACAACCUGCAACGCGUGAAGCAGAAGCUGGAGAAGGAGAAGAGCGAGUUGAAGUUGGAGCUGGACGAUGUCGCCUCCAACAUGGAGCAGCUGCUGAAAGCCAAGGUUCUAAGCCAAAGAAUGGGGGCGGGGUUUGUUUGGGGCGGGGCAAGGCAGGUGAUGUCAUGGUCUGAGGGCGGAGUCACGGUUUGCGGCAGGGUUGUAGCACGGCGGGAGAACAACCUGGAGACAUCGAACCGGUUGAUUUGGACUGGGAUACAAAGAUAGGGAGGGGAUGAGAUUCAGAGGGAGCUCCCUUCGUUCCAGAAUUAAAAUUAAAAUUGUUCCCUCCUCUGACUGGGUGCUGCUACUCUCCAUUCACCACUACAUUUAUUCCCCAACAACUCCUCUCGCCGUUGGGUUUCAGGCCAACCUGGAGAAAAUGUGCCGCACCUUUGAGGACCAAAUGAACGAGCACCGGGCCAAGUCUGAGGAGAGUCAGCGAAUGGUCCACGACCUCACCUCUCAGCGAGCUAAGCUCCAGACUGAGAAUGGUGAGUAGAGAAGGCUGAUGCACGUUCAUACGACGUCUUUUUCCUGGAGAUUGAAUUUAGGACAUUUUGCAUGUGAGGCUGGUGCUCUAGCAUUGAGCUAAAACCCCUCUCCCAUAGCUUGAUGGCUGGCCCUUCCAGACAGUUUUCUGGUUUAGCCAUUUCUCCUCCAUCUUUGCUCAGAUGCAACCAGGUUUCCACCUACCUAAACUUCCAUCCAUCCGUCCAUCCAUUCAAAGUUUUCUUUCUUUUCUUUUCUUCCUUCCUGCCAUGCCCUACUUUCAUCACCCCUCCCUCUUUUCCCCAUCUUUCAAAAUGAUUGCUCGUACAGUGGUUCCUCGGUUCUCGAACGUAAUCCAUUCCGGAAGACCGUUCGAGUUCCGAAACGUUCGACAACCGAGGCACAAAGGGCGACCUGCAAAUUCAAUUGAGGAAAUUGAAAAACACGCAGCAGAAGCCGUUCGACUUCCGAGGUGCGUCCAAAAACGGAAGCAUUUACUUCCGGGUUUUCGGCGUUCGGGUUCCGAAACAUUCGUCAACGGAGACAUUCGAGAAACGAGGUACCAUUGUACCAUUUUCAUUUACAGUGGUACCUCGGGUUACAGACGGUUCAGGUUACAGAUGCUUCAGGUUACAGACUCCGCUAACCCAUAAAUAGUACCUCGGGUUAAGAACUUUGCUUCAGGAUGAGAACAGAAAUCGCACAGCAGCAGCGCACCGGCAGCGGGAGGCCCCAUUAGCUAAAGUGGUACCUCAGGUUAAGAACAGUUUCAGGUUAAAAACGGACUUCUGGAACGAAUCUUAACCAGAGAUACCACUUAACCACUUAACUAGUUCUUAACCAGAGAUACCACUGUACUUUCCAAGCUAAAAAUCAACAUUCUGAUGCUCCUCCCCACUCCAAAAGAAACCCUGAAUACAUAAAUGACCCGAGCUAUCCUUCAUGCCUUAACUCUUAACCCUGCAGGGGGGAGGGGGAACCAGCUAGCCACUAACUUCUAUUUUUUUUUAAAAAAAACCCUAGUCCACCUAAUUUGGUGUUCAUCUUCGAUGGCACCCUCUGCAGAGCAUUUUCUGAAGAGAAGCGUGUAGAGACAGACACUGUCAGCCUGUGGGGUCCCUGUUCAACAUGGCUGCCGAUUCCGAUGACAAAACUCCCGGAGAUAAUGGAUUCCUCCGCCCCAACUCUUCUCCCUAGGUGAAUUAUCCCGCCAGAUGGAUGAGAAGGAUGCUUUGAUCAACCAGCUGACGCGAGGGAAGCUGACGUACACCCAGCAACUGGAAGAUCUGAAGAGGCAACUGGAAGAAGAAGCUAAGGUAAGGAGGACGCAAAGAGGUUUGGGAAGGAAGUCCACAGGACUCAACGCGAAGGGUAGAUACUGGUCCUGUCAGGACUGACGGUCACUGAGGCCACGUGGCUGUUCCCUUCCCCUCAGGCCAAGAAUGCUCUGGCGCAUGCGCUGCAGUCAGCCCGCCAUGACUGCGACCUUAUGAGGGAGCAGUAUGAGGAAGAAACGGAGGCCAAAGCGGAGCUUCAGCGCUCGCUGUCGAAGGCCAAUUCCGAGGUGGCACAGUGGAGGACCAAGUACGAGACUGAUGCCAUCCAGAGGACGGAGGAGCUGGAGGAAGCCAAGUAAGUGGGGCGGAGGGCAAUGAGACCCACAACUCGCCUCACCUCACAACCACAGGCCUGUUGCACCACCCACCCUUUCUCACCCUUGUAUGUUCAAGUUGAAACAAUGCAAUAGCCAAUACAGUGGUACCUCUGGUUGCAAACGGGAUCCGUUCCGGAGCCCCAUUCGCAACAUGAGCAGAAUGCAACCCGCGUCUGCGUGGGUCGCGAUUCGCCGCUUCUGCGCAUGCGUGUGAUGUCAUUUUGAGCGUCUGCGCAUGCGUGAGCGGCGAAACCCGGAAGUAACCCUUUCCGGUACUUCCGGGUUGCCGCAGGACGCAACCUGAAAAUAUUUAACCUGAAGCAAACGUAACAAGAGGUAUGACUGUAAAGGGGGGAAAUGCAAUUGAAACAACAAAAACACGUAGAACGGUAAAACCGUCCCAGCCGAAAACAGGACAGUCGAUUCAGCAAAAGAAAUGGGUCUCGUAAAACAAAAUAGGCGAAAGUAAAGAGGUGUGUACAGCGAAAGCCGUACAUUGAAGAUGCUGGGCUCUGUGAGGAGGGAAUUCAAUGGCUUAAGGGCUGCCACAGAGAAAGUUCUUGCCCUGCAUUUUAGAGGGUAGACCAAGUACCAAGGGGUCUGCCAAUCUCAACACCUGAGAGAGUCUUUAGGGACGGAGGCCAUCUUUCUUGAGGCCUAAGUGGCCUAGGUUUUAAACGCCACUACGAGCUCCUUGAAUUGGGCCUGGACACUUUUGACUCCAGCCUGAAUUUAAUUCCCCCGGAGGAGUUGUUAUUUUAAGCAAAGCAGGAGGGGUGAGCCCCUUCUGAUUAUCUCCUUUCAUUAAGCCCUUCCUUGUCAUGGGUUUGGGCUCCUUCUAUUGGCUUAUGGCACCUGUCACCCUGCCCCAUUUGUGUGUCAGGAAGAAGCUGGCGCAGCGCCUGCAAGACGCCGAAGAGGCGGUGGAGGCCGUGAACGCCAAGUGCUCCUCGCUGGAGAAGACCAAGCACCGCCUGCAGAACGAGAUCGAAGACCUCAUGGUGGACGUGGAGCGCUCAAACGCGGCCGCAGCUGCCCUGGACAAGAAGCAGAGGAACUUCGACAAAGUACGGUGGGAAAAGUGGAGGGAAUGAUCCGGAAGGGAUGGGUUGGGGACAGCUGUGGGUACCCCAGUUCUGCUUGGUGGGGAUACUGGGCCGUACUGGACGCUUGUGAAGCUCAGCUCACGUCUGCGCCACAUGCUCUUAACUCACUUUAACCAGUACGCCACAACGGCUUGGCUUCAAGGGCGUCCGUUUGCUCGUUGUUGGGAGCAGCGGGCCUAGGAGUGCCUCAAGAAAUAGCUAUUCUCAAACCUUACUCUCUCCGCUUCUCCAUCACCCACCGCAGCUCCUGUCAGAGUGGAAGCAGAAGUAUGAGGAGUCCCAGACGGAGCUGGAGUCGUCGCAGAAGGAGGCCCGUUCUCUCAGCACCGAGCUCUUCAAGCUGAAGAACGCCUACGAGGAGUCGCUGGAGCACCUAGAGACCUUCAAGAGGGAGAACAAGAACUUGCAAGGUGAGCCUUUCUCUCCCUCAGGGGCCAAUCGUCCCGUGCCCCGAACAAAACCGGCUCCUGUCGGAUGCCACCUGACUCCCUACCUUUUUGCUGUUCCCGGCAGAGGAGAUUUCCGACCUCACAGAGCAGCUUGGAUCCAGCGGCAAGACCAUCCACGAGCUCGAGAAAGUGCGGAAACAACUUGACGCGGAGAAGAUGGAGUUGCAGGCAGCUCUGGAGGAGGCUGAGGUGAGGAGGGCCUUUGGCUGUGAUCCAAAAGCGACACCGCGGCCAUCUUGUUUUUCAGUUGGCCUUUCCAUCUUCCUCUUUCCGUUCCCUCUGAUUCGUUUCAUCCUCCCCUCACGAUCUUUCGCCUACAGAUGUACAAAUGUUCUCUCUGUCAGGCCUUUCUCUCCUCGCCCCUAUUUUCAUCUGAGGAAUGCGGGAGGACAUGGCAUGACAUUGUUUCUUUCUCUCUACCCAAUAUCUCCCUCCACGAUCCAGGCCUCUCUGGAGCACGAGGAAGGCAAGAUCCUGCGGGCCCAGCUGGAGUUCAACCAGAUCAAGGCCGACAUCGAGCGCAAGCUGGCCGAGAAGGACGAGGAGAUGGAGCAGGCCAAGCGCAACCACUUGAGGAUGGUGGACUCGCUCCAGGCCUCCCUCGACGCCGAGACCCGCAGCCGCAACGAGGCGCUGAGGGUCAAGAAGAAGAUGGAGGGCGACCUCAACGAGAUGGAGAUCCAGCUCAGCCACGCCAACCGCAUCGCGGCCGAGGCGCAGAAGCAAGUCAAAACCUUGCAGGGAUACCUCAAGGUAACACCUGAAAGUUCAGUCUUCUUGUCCCCCCCUCCCCCCUGGCAACACGGCAGUGGGGUGAAGCCCCCUUCAGUUUGUACCUCAUCUCUCCCUCCCCACAACCCCUGCCUUCAUCUUGCCUCCCUUCUUCUUUUUCUAUAAUUUGUAUUAAAUUUUCUGUUUUACAUUUUAUAAUAUUCAUUUAAACAACCUUAAAAUAUCAGUGACUUCCCUUCUUCUCUUUCCACGGCUCAUUUCGCAUAACAUAAAUCCUUGUAUAUUUUAUAUCAACUAUUCAGUAUUCCAUUAUUACAUCCAUCAAAACUUAUUUACGCCAUUGAAUUUAUCUUAAUGCUGCCCACGGUUUCAAAUACAUGCGAUUUCCCCCCAUAUAUUCAAGAAACGUUUUACAGUCUUUUAUAAAUGUAUGUUGUUCUUGUUCUCUUAUUCUAUAUGUUAAGUCUGCAAGCUGCGCAUAUUCCAUCAGUUUAAGUUGCCAUUCUUCCUUAGUUAGAACCUUGCUCAUUUUCCAUUUUUGGGCUUACAAAACACGGGCCACAGUAGUGGCAUAACCAUUUUUGACACCUGGGAAUUUCCAUCUGAAUUAUCCCCAACGAAAAGGACUCUUUUUUAAAAAAGUACUUUAAAACAUUUUUUUCAAUUCAUUGUGAAUUAUUUCCCAAUGCUCUCUUACCCUUUUACAGGUCCACCACACAUGAUGGACCGCAGCCUCAGUCUCAUUGCAUCUUCAGCACUUAUCUCGACUCCCUCCUUUUCCCUCCCAGGACACCCAGAUACAGUUGGACGACGCCGUCCGAGCCAACGAGGACCUGAAAGAGAACAUCGCCAUUGUGGAGCGGAGGAACAACCUGCUGCAGGCGGAGCUGGAGGAGCUGCGUGCCGUGGUGGAGCAGACGGAGCGGGCCCGAAAGCUGGCAGAGCAGGAGCUGAUAGAAACCAGCGAGAGAGUCCAGCUCCUCCACACACAAGUAAGAGCAGCCUCAGAAGCAAGGCUGUUACUGAACCUCCCGGAUUGGGAUCAGCCAGGAAACAGAAAAUUUCUGCCCUCAGACAUCCCCUCCUAUUAUGUACAUUUUCGCUGUUCCUCUGUAUAGUGGCAUUCGCAGGAGUGACUUAAUACUCAUCUUGCAUUUGUAAGACAUCAGUACUUUAGUGUGGCAGCACCUUAUGCUUCGGAACUCCCUGCCGAUUGACACCAGGGGGCAGCCUUCCCUGUGCUCUUUCCGGCGCCUUCUUAGAAGCAUUUUUGUUUACACAAGCCUACUCAGUUAUGGAGCAUGUUAAUUGGGGUUUGUUUGUUUUUAGCUUACAGCUGUUUUUAAUUAAUAGUAGGAUUUAAAAAAAAAUAAAUAGCUGUUUUUAACUCUUUAUGACUGAUAAUUUUAUUGUUUUAUUGUUUUUGCAAACUGCUCUGAGGUGCUUUAUUUUUAUUUUUUUAAAAAUCAAACGGUGCAUAACUUUUAAAAAAUGAAACAAAUACCGUAUUUUUCCGUGUAUAAGACUAGGUUUCCUCCUUCAAAAAUAAUGUACAAAAUUUGGGGGCAUCUUAUACACGGAUAGAGCCCCCCUUUUUUCUUAAAUUGGAGUCCCCAAAAAUAGGGGGCGUCUUAUACAUGGGGACGGGAAAAUACAGUAACUUCUCAUUAAUCGAGGCAUCAGGGCAUCCAAACUGGGGCCCUCCCCGGUGUGGCCACGCAGCCCUGACCUCACCGACACCUUGGCAGUGAUGCCACUGCUAUUGCCACAGCUCUUCCCUGCCCGGUGAGCUGCUCCUGGGCUUUCUAGAACAUUCUGAGCAGAGACCAGCAUUCACCGUAUAAUCCUAAUGUUUUUACCACUGCCUCAGGAGUGGUGUGGGGGAAUGGAUUUAUGGAUUGACCAGUAGCAGAAGCUUGGGGUGCCAAGCACGGAACGGAGUCGGGAGGUGAUUUCUUAGCUGGGGGAGAUGGUAGCAGUGCCACAGGCCGCCAGAGAAACAUCUGAGUUGUGGGGAAGGGGCAUGCGCAGGCCCUCAGAAAGGAAGCAACACCUAGGAAGGUCCUCUUUCCCCCAACGCUGGUCGGCCACUCCUGCCUCUGGUGUGGGGGCAUGGACUUUCCGUCCAUAGAAGAUUCCAGAAACCAUGGGACCAGCGUGCUGUGGGAUUUCUUAGGAUGGUUCAGAAAUUGGGGAGUGGGGGCUACGAGGUCUAGAAAGAGUGGCUGCCUUUGCCUCAGGCUAUGAAGCCGUUUUCUGAGGUCAUAUUUCGGCAGGUCCUCCUAUUUCUCCGGAGGCCAGCAGCCCUAGAUCAAAAAACCCCCACGGUGUAUUUGUUUCACAGAACACCAGCCUCAUCAACCAGAAAAAGAAGAUGGAGUCCGACCUGUCCCAGCUGCAGACGGAGGUGGAGGAGGCAAUUCAGGAGUGCAGGAACGCUGAGGAGAAGGCCAAGAAGGCCAUCACGGACGUGAGUGGAAUGAGAGAUGCGCUCUUCUUCUUCUCCAUGGAAGCAGUGGCUCCAACCUGGAAGGGUUCCUUAUGAACAUGGAAACCUGCCUCAAACCAUUGGUCCAUUGAGCUCAGUGUUGUCUACACUGACCGGCAGGGUUUAGACAGAUGAGAAGCAUUUGCUACUAAGGUUAUUUAGGAGGAGCUGCCUCAACUGCACACUACAGCACGGGCAAGUGACCCGCGGCCCUGACAUCAUCAUGUGCGGCCCCCAACACCUCCCAAAAGUUGAUCCAUCUUCCCUUCCUUCCUGUUAACGUCCUUGCUUUUCCUAGGUUCUUCCUAGUGUGCUUCCUCCCCUUUCUGUGUAGUUUCAAAACAGCUGGAAAGCGCAGUGCUUUAUUUGAUUAAAAUAACUUGAUGGGCUCUUUUAAAAAAAACUAUUCCCCGUUUUAUAUGGCAAAGGUUUAUUUUGGCCCAUCAUUCUGAGAACAAACGCAUAGAUUUCAGUCAUCUGUGUGCACGUCCGCUGAAGCACACUAAAGUCAGAAAGGAAUUUUGUUCAUUUGCUGUAGUUCUGUUGUAUAGCUACUUACCUGAGAGUAGCAACAUUUAACUCAGUGGCGCUUCGUUCUGAGUUGAAUUUUCGCAGGACCAGGAAUUCUAAUCUGAGGUAGCCAUGGUGAAAAUUGAAGCAGAGCUGGGUUUUUUCUUUUCUUUUUCUGGAUUAAUUAAAAAAAAAAGCCUAUUUUCGUUGCUGGCUUCACCCACCAGCAGUUCUGCCCACUGCCAGCAUGCGGACUCCUUAAGGAAUGCAGCCCUGACAGAAAAAAAUGUUGCCCCCCCCACCCAGAACACUGUAUUCUUCUCCCACUAGUAGAACCAUGUUUAAUGAGGAUAAUGAGAGCAUAUCCCAGAAUUCACUUUUUCAUUUGAUUUAUUGAGAGGAGCCAUCCUCUCUGUGGUGGAAAAUGAGGAGAGGCCUGUUAGUCACAUUGACAGAAUACAGUGGUAUGUCGGUUUUCGCACGCAAUCUGUUCUGGAAGACCGUUCGAGUUCUGAAAUGUUCGAAAACCGAAAACUCAAUAGCCGACAGCUAGGCCUCAGGAUCUUGCAUUCAGUGGAAGCCGCAUGGCAUGUUCAACUUCCAAGCAUGGCUGCCAACUUUUCCCUUUUCUUGCAAGGAAUCCUGUUUGGAAUAAGGGAAUUUCCCUUUAAAAAACGUUGGCAGCUACGCUUCUGAGGCGUGUUUGAAAACUCAAGUAUUUACUUCUGGGUUUACGGCGUUCGUAAACCGAAAUGUUCAUCAACGGAGACGUUCGAAAACGGAGGUACCACUGUAAGUGGUUCAGGGAUAUAAAGAGGAGUAUGGGCUCCUGGCCCCUUCACCUCCUCCCCUCAGGAUUUUUAAGGCCUGCGUUGGGUUUGCCAGACUGAGGUAAUUCUCUGCGUUCUCUCUGCUUCCUCCAGGCGGCCAUGAUGGCGGAGGAGCUGAAGAAGGAGCAGGACACCAGCGCUCACCUGGAGAGGAUGAAGAAGAACAUGGAGCAGACCAUCAAGGACCUGCAGCUGCGGCUGGACGAGGCGGAACAGCUGGCCCUGAAGGGCGGCAAGAAGCAGCUGCAGAAGCUCGAGGCCCGAGUGCGGGAGCUGGAGAACGAGCUGGAGAUGGAGCAGAAGCGCAAUGCUGAGAACGUCAAGGGCAUGCGCAAGUGCGAGAGGCGCAUCAAGGAGCUCACCUACCAGGUGCGGGGGCACACAGACCUCCUUUCUAUGCAGAUCUUAGCUGAGCCAAGAUCGAACAUGGUUCAAUCUAACCGCAUUCCGAGCAAGCAGCCUUCAGAACACAUUGUCAGCGCCAUCUCGAACCCAGCUCAGCCUCUCCCCCACCCCGAAUGCUAGUGGCUUGGCUCAGGGAUCUGGAAAGAUCUAGAAUCAGGAUGGCGAUCUCGCCAAGCUUAAGAUCACCUAAUCGAACUGGUGGCAUACAAAAUCUAAUGAAGAGCUGCGUUGCCCUGUGAUUUUCAAAUAACAGGGAGAGUUGAAACUAGUUGAGACUUCAGAAGUACAGUGGUACCUCGGGUUAAUUACUUAAUUCGUUCCGGAGGUCCGUUCUUAACCUGAAACUGUUCUUAACCUCAAGCACCACUUUAGCUAAUGGGGCCUCCUGCUGCCGCCGCACCGCCGGAGCACGAUUUCUGUUCUCAUCCUGAAGGAAAGUUCUUAACCCGAGGUAGUAUUUCUGGGUUAGCGGAGUCUGUAACCUGAAGCGUAUGUAACCUGAGGUACCACUGUAAUAUCUUCUCCUGAAAAUGAAAAUGCAGGUGUGUUGCACUGAAAAUGUACACCUGACAUGAAUUAAUACAUGUAACUUAUUAGGUCAGCCAGAUGUUGCAGGAGACAGGUGGAUCUGUUUAGGAACGGCUUCUGGAACCAAGCAUGGUUUUUUGAGUAAAUUCUAAAGAGGAAAAAUGUCUCUGGAACAGAGAACUCAAUAGUGCCCCCUCACCAGAUACAACCACACACAGUGUGGAGAUCAAAAUACUGAUAUCUCUAUUAGGAAUUCAGAGUUCUGAUGCGAUGGCUGUCAGUGGAGCUUCAAAACAUGUCCAUCAUCUUUUAAGUCUAGCACAGUCCAGAAGGAAUUAAGACUCACAGCUGUGACAGGGGAAGGCAGGACUGCCCAGUGACAAAGGGGAAGAUGGCAGCCUCGCAUUCCACAUUUGGGAGCAGCAAACUUGCUUAGGGAGUGAGCUAGCUUUGGGUUCUCCGGGGGUAUGGCUGCUGACUUACUGCCACCGCUGCCAGCAUCUUCUAUUCAAAUGUGAUUUUGGUUUUAAAUGCAGUGUAAGGUAGUCUCUAUGGGAGUACAGUGGUACCUCGGGUUAAGUACUUAAUUCGUUCCAGUGGUCUGUUCUUAACCUGAAGCACCAUUUUAGCUAAUGGGGCCUCCUGCUGCUGCCGCACCGCCGGAGCACGAUUUCUGUUCUCAUCCUGAAGCAAAGUUCUUAACCCGAGAUACUAUUUCUGGGUUAGCGGAGUCUGUAACCUGAAGCGUAUGUAACCUGAAGUGUAUGUAACCCGAGGUACCACUGUAUAUUGUAUUUAAUUAUGGGGUAUCAGAGUUUUUAGGGGGCUAACCAGGCUGGGAUAGCUGGGAUAGCAGGCUUGUUAGUUUUUGAAUGUCUGAUGUAGAUUUUUUCGAUUUUGUUGUUCUGUAUGGGGCAAUGACAAUAAAGAUUAUCGUAUCUGCCACCUGAGGCAAAUGCUCAUUGCUGCCUAAUGGUAAGGCCAGCUCUAGGAUGCAAUGCGAGCAGGAACGAAAGUCAUUUAGGAAUGGAUGUAUGGGGGAAGAAUCAGUUCUGGGUGAGCCCAGCAGGGAAAGGAAACUAAGAAGGCCUGUUUCGGUUUUUGAAAACCUAAGAAAACCUUGUUUCAGUUUUUGAAUAGUUUGGUAGCCGUCUACGGCUGCUGGGUAAAGUUUGUUCCUUCUAAUCCAGCCUCCGUGGACCAUUUGCAGUCCUGCAAAUACUACAUGGGAGGUGGCAAAUCUGUAAACCCAAGCACAGCGUGUCAGUUUCCUUCUUCAGCUGUGUGGAUGCUAAAUAACCUGCCUGUCUCUCCUUUCUUUCAUUUUGUGUUGUAGACGGAGGAGGACCGGAAAAACCUCGUCCGUCUCCAAGAUCUGGUGGAUAAACUCCAGUUGAAAGUCAAGGCUUACAAGAGGCAGGCUGAAGAAGCGGUAAGCAUGCAACCUUCGGGGCUAGCGUCCUUCAGCCCUGGGUCGUCGUCCCCAGACGGUGGUGGACUACAACUCCCAUCAGCCCUAGCCAGUUUAGCCGACGGUCAGUGAUGAUGGAAGAUGUCGUCAAAGCAACAUCUGGGGGACUCAAGGCUGAGGAACACUCUCCUAGGCUCCCUCUGCCUCCUUGACACCUGGGAGAACUCGUCAUGACCUCCCUCCUACAUGGCCCACCUAGGAACACAGAAAACUGUCUUAUACUGGUAUUGAGAUCAGUAAUGCCUGCCAUUUCUGGCAGCAGCUCUCAAGGGUUUCAGACAAGCGUCUCUGCCAGCCCACCCAGAGAUGCUGAGGAUUGAACCCUGAGCACAAGGCAGGUGCUCUAACCACUAAGCUCUGCAUCCACUCCUCGCUUCUCCAUUCCCCGUCAUUAUCCCCAUUUACGUUCCUCAAUAAAUGGGCCUGCGGGUGAGCAUUUUGCGGUCACUGUGGGCGACCGCCGAGAGCACUUCCAUCUUCCCCAGAUUCCCCCCUCGCGCUACACGCACUCAGAAGUAUUAUCUUAUUUCUUGUUUACGCCUCUCCCCACCCCGUCCCCGCCGACAGGGCAGCCGAACGGAAAAAAAUGACAACAGAAGCAAAUGAAAAUCCAAUAUCCAAUUCCAUUAGAAUCAGAACUUGUAAGCGGCGUAAAAUCAAAUAAAACCACAUGUCAGCAGGAUGUAAAAUGACAAGAUUAAAAACAGCCAGACUGUUAAAAUCAACCGUCACCUGCUUUAAUGCCUGCUGGGGGGAGAAAAGGAAAAAAAGGAAAGAGGUUUUUGUUUUGUUUCUGUUAGUUGGUCAGGACAGAGGUGGUUUUUAACAAUCUUUCCAGAGGAGGAAAUCCCAUUCUAGGGGCGCCCAUGCCGAUAAGGCCCUGCUCCUCCUUUGAUGUCUGUCUCAAAGUUCUGACAGAUAGGAGGAGCGAGGCUCAUCCAAGGGUCUUUAUUGUAGGGCCAGGGUAGGCAACAUUUUUAUUUCCCCGUUGAGGGCUGAAUUCCCUUGAGGAUAAUGCAUCAGGGGCUGCAGAUUGGCAGUGGGCGGGGCUAUGACAACAGUGGGCGGAGCUGGAGAAAAAUGGGGCGGGGCCUCCCCUUCCAUCCCUUUCCCUCCCUCUUUCUCCUCAUCCGGCAACCUGCAGGGACAGGGUUUCUCCCUACCUGCGAUUCCAGCAGCUGGCAAUACUGUCUGUGACAGCAGAGGUAGUACCUAAGCCUUUCGUCUCCGGUAGACGCAGACAGCCUUACCCUCCGUGAAUUUUCCAGUUCUCUUCUAAAGCCAUCCAAGUUGUUGGCCGCUGCUAACCCCUUGUGGCAGGGAGUUCCGCAGUCUGCACUGUGCGAAGAAGGUUCUUUCGUUUUGCCUCGCAUCUCCCAACAUUCGGCUUUGUUCGAUGCCCCCUGGUGGGACGAACUAGCUUUAAUACACCACCCCAUUGUGAUUUCACCCCAUCUCUUUCUCUGCCCCACUAAUGCAGGAGGAGCAGGCCAACAGCAACCUGGCCAAGUUCCGGAAGGUUCAGCACGAGCUGGAUGAGGCCGAGGAGCGGGCGGACAUCGCCGAGUCCCAAGUCAACAAGUUGAGGGCCAAGAGCCGUGAUAUUGGGGCAAAGGUGAGAAACCUCUGGUGCCUUAUCGCUCCUCUCCAACUCCUAUAAUUUCAGUUUCUUCCCCCCUCCCACCUGAUAUCUGCAUUUCUCCGCUGACUCCUUCUUCCUCUCUCCCUGUCCCCUUGCAGAAAGGUCUGAACGAGGAGUAACUCCUUUUGAAGAUCAGACGCCCCCCAUCCUCGAAUCACACGUGUACCCCCAGCUCCACACCUGAAAGGCAGUGGAGGACGCUUCCCCCCCGCUCUGUAUAUCAGCACAGCCCCCGAAAUGUAGAAUAAAGGCUAUCAAACAGC